GACGUAGGGCGCGAGCGUUGUCCGGAUUUAUUGGGCGUAAAGAGCGUGUAGGCGGCCAGGUAGGUCAGCUGUGAAAACUCGAGGCUCAACCUCGAGACGCCGGUUGAAACCAUCUGGCUAGAGUCCGGAAGAGGAGAGUGGAAUUCCUGGUGUAGCGGUGAAAUGCGCAGAUAUCAGGAGGAACACCGGUGGCGAAGGCGGUUCUCUGGGCCUUACCUGACGCUGAGGAGCGAAAGCGUGGGGAGCGAACAGG
rnacentral:rRNA from 1 species